UACGUAGGGGGCAAGCGUUUGUCCGGAUUUAUUGGGCGUAAAGAGCGUGUAGGCGGCCAGACAGGUCCGUUGUGAAAACUCGAGGCUCAACCUCGAGACGCCGAUGGAAACCGUCUGGCUAGAGUCCGGAAGAGGAGAGUGGAAUUCCUGGUGUAGCGGUGAAAUGCGCAGAUAUCAGGAAGAACACCCGUGGCUAAGGCGGCUCUCUAGUACGGUACUGACGCUGAGACGCGAAAGCGUGGGGAGCGAACAGG
rnacentral:rRNA from 1 species